GAACCAUAUCCCUGAGAUUGAAUAGCGUAAUCAAAUGCCGACUGGAGAGAUUCAAGGCGAUUCUUAAGCACAUCGGGAAAGCGCACAAUAAGAGGAAGCUGCAAGCCGAGACCGCCAGAGCAAAUCGGAUCUGAAGCCUUCUUCACAAUUUUGAGCAAAUCAAUCUCCUGAUGGGGCAAAGUAGCUGUCCCAUAAGGACGAACAGCCAUAUUCCCAGAACCAUUGAC
rnacentral:misc_RNA from 1 species